rnacentral:rRNA from 1 species
AACGAACGCUGGCGGCAGGCCUAACACAUGCAAGUCGAACGCUCUCUUCGGAGGGAGUGGCAGACGGGUGAGUAACACGUGGGAACCUACCCCUUGGUACGGAAAUACUGAUGGAAACGUUAGCUAAUACCGUAUGAGCGCUGAGGCGGAAAGAUUUAUCGCCAAGGGAUGGGCCCGCGUAGGAUUAGCUAGUUGGUGGGGUAAAGGCCUACCAAGGCGACGAUCCUUAGCUGGUCUGAGAGGAUGAUCAGCCACACUGGGACUGAGACACGGCCCAGACUCCUACGGGAGGCAGCAGUGGGGAAUAUUGGACAAUGGGCGCAAGCCUGAUCCAGCCAUGCCGCGUGAGUGAUGAAGGCCUUAGGGUUGUAAAGCUCUUUCACCUGGGAAGAUAAUGACGGUACCAGGAGAAGAAGCCCCGGCUAACUUCGUGCCAGCCGCCGCCGUAAGAC